CAGGUGAAUCAGCUCCCGGCCGACUUUAGGAUUCUUCUGGAUUUUAAAUUUUUUCUUUUUAAAAAAACUUGGACGGAUAAAAGAUGUGCCAUGGCAGGAUAGCACCAAAGAGCACCUCAGUGUUUGCCGUGGCCUCCUUGGGACAUGGAGUGUUCCUUCCGCUGGUGAUCCUUUGCACCCUGCUUGGAGACGGACUUGCUUCUGUGUGCCCCCUACCACCGGAGCCAGAGAAUGGUGGCUACAUCUGCCACCCCCGGCCCUGCAGAGACCCUCUGACAGCGGGCAGUGUCAUCGAAUACCUGUGUGCUGAAGGCUACAUGUUGAAGGGCGAUUACAAAUACCUGACGUGUAAGAAUGGCGAGUGGAAACCAGCCAUGGAGAUUAGCUGCCAUCUCAACGAGGGUCAGUCUGGCAGAUGAAAAAGGGAUGCUGCUGGGGUUCUGCUUUCUGUUAACUCACAGGAUGCAAUGCAUGCUUCCUCCAGAGCACUCUUUGCUGUGGUGCAGCCCAGCCCCGGUUGAUGCUCUGCAGCCUCCCUUCCUUGGGUCUUCAUGUCUUUGUGGAAGAUACUUGAGGUUGCUGGUGCAUGUCCUAUUGCAUUUCAUUGA
rnacentral:sRNA from 1 species